rnacentral:rRNA from 1 species
GCCUACCAUGGUUUUAACGGGUAACGGGGAAUUAGGGUUCGAUUCCGGAGAGGGAGCCUGAGAAACGGCUACCACAUCCAAGGAAGGCAGCAGGCGCGCAAAUUACCCAAUCCCGACACGGGGAGGUAGUGACAAUAAAUAACAAUACGGGGCUCAUUUGGGUCUCGUAAUUGGAAUGAGUACAAUUUAAAUCCCUUAACGAGGAACAAUUGGAGGGCAAGUCUGGUGCCAGCAGCCGCGGUAAUUCCAGCUCCAAUAGCGUAUAUUAAAGUUGUUGCAGUUAAAAAGCUCGUAGUUGAACUUCGGGGUCUACCCAUUGGUCAGGCUUAAUUGUCUGCACUGGUGAGAUGGAUCUCUACCUUCUGAGGAACUUUCAUGCCAUUUAUUUGGUGUGAUGGGAAAUCAGGACUGUUACUUUGAAAAAAUUAGAGUGUUUAAAGCAGACUAUCGUCUGAAUACAUUAGCAUGGAAUAAUGAAAUAGGACGGACUGAUUCUAUUUCGUUGGUUUCUAGGAUCACCGUAAUGAUUAAUAGGGAUAGUUGGGGGCAUUAGUAUUCAAUUGUCAGAGGUGAAAUUCUUGGAUUUAUUGAAGACUAACUACUGCGAAAGCAUUUGCCAAGGAUGUUUUCAUUAAUCAAGAACGAAAGUUAGGGGAUCGAAGACGAUCAGAUACCGUCGUAGUCUUAACCAUAAACUAUGCCGACUAGAGAUCGGACGAAGUUAAUUUUAUAAUGACGCGUUCGGCACCUUACG